GGUUGUGGCUCAGUGGUAGAGUACUCGCCUAUCGCCAGUGAGGCAUGGGUUUAAUCCUCAGCACCA
rnacentral:tRNA from 1 species